UACGUAGGGGUGCGAGCGUUAAUCGGAAUUACUGGGCGUAAAGCGUGUGUAGGCGGCUCGAUAAGUCGGAUGUGAAAGCCCUGGGCUCAACCCCAGGAAGUGCACUCGAUACUGUCGAGCUAGAGUAUCGGAGAGGUUGGUGAAAUUCUCGGUGUAGAGGUGAAAUUCGUAGAUAUCGAGAGGAACACCGGCGGCGAAGGCGGCCAACUGGACGAAUACUGACGCUGAGACACGAAAGCGUGGGGAGCAAACAGG
rnacentral:rRNA from 1 species